UACGGGGGGAGCAAGCGUUGUUCGGAUUUACUGGGCGUAAAGGGCGCGUAGGCGGUAGCACAAGUCAGUUGUGAAAUCUCCGGGCUUAACUCGGAAAGGUCAACUGAUACUGUGCGACUAGAGUGCAGAAGGGGCAACUGGAAUUCUCGGUGUAGCGGUGAAAUGCGUAGAUAUCAGGAAGAACACCCGUGGCGAAGGCGGCUCUCUGGGACGGUACUGACGCUGAGACGCGAAAGCGUGGGUAGCGAACAGG
rnacentral:rRNA from 1 species